AUUUUCCUCUUUUUUCCAUCUAUUAGGUGAGAAACCCAGUCUUUAAAGGCUGUAUUUAUUACCGUCUGUAAUUUCUGACUGGAGAUAAAUAUUUUCUCAUUCUCUUUGUAUGUGUCUAUAUGAUUAAACUGGAAUCAGGGAAAUAAACAAUAUUAUAGAAAAGUGAGGAAGUAUAGUGGUCCAACCUUUGUGAAACAAAAUGAUGUGAACAUUGGAAGAGUGAACUGUAUGUCCUUUUAUUUCUAGGAAGGUUUGAUCUGGAUUAGAAUUUGGGGUGUUUAAAUAUGUGGAAUUAAGAUAUUUUAUUUCUAAUCCACACAACUGCUCUUUUGGAUCUCUAAUGUGAUGGAUGUAGAUUUCAAAUAAUGAGAACAAUAUGUAUGAAAACACAAAACACAUAGAGGAAGCUCAUAUUCUUAUUCAUUGGAUUUGAUUCUGAAUUAGAACAAGAACUGUCCGUGAAGUCAUGGCAACUGCUUUCUAAUGUGUGGUGCAAUUUUCCAACAGAAACCUGUUUAGGCUGGAACAGAAGGAAUGACUUGAAAUAGUAUCAUUCAGAUAAUACAAUCAUAAGAGAGCUGUUGUUUUUCUUUAAAGAUCCAGCAGAGAUGAAAGGAAGGAGCUAGCCAUGUAUUUCCUCCUCAGAUCAAAGAUAGCUGACAAAUAUAUUUGGCCCAGCAUAAUACUGAUGGAUUUAAAAUCAUUUUAGGAUCUUCAGCCAUAUGGUGCAUUUUGUCUCAGUUUAACCUUUGGUUUCAUUGACAACCUUUCAUAAUAAUACAUUAGCAGCAUGUUUUGUUUAUUUCUUUUAUGUUAUUCCAACUCAGCAGUAACUUUGCAGCAUAGAGAAAGGCUAUUAUUGUAGCCCUCAAAUAGAUUGGUACUACUUUUGUACAAAGUACUGAGUUCUGUGUUUGAUUUAACCUAGAUUUCCACUUUUAAUUCAUAAUGUUAUUGUCUGUGUUUGUGGACUUACUUUUUCAAGAACAAUGCAAAGUUCACAAUAUGAUCUACAGAAUAUUACAGUAGGGGGCCUUCUACACUGCCAAAUAAUCCAGUUCAAAGCAGACAAUCUGGAUUUUAUACAGGGUCUAGGUUGCCUUUAUGCAAAUUAUAGUCUUCCAUUAAAAUCGUUCUUAAUCUCUAUAAAAUGCUCUUCUUUAAAACUUCAACCCCAGCAUUUAAUGUUUGAAGCUGUUUAGUUUGGGACUGGAGAGGCAAGAACUAGAAAACAUAUGAAAUGAUGGAUUCUGUUUUAUCUGAUGUUGUGGGCUAGAGUUUAUGAUGGCUUUUCCAAAUAAAAAAUGUCAUUCUUUGUGA